rnacentral:rRNA from 1 species
AACGCGAAGAACCUUACCUGGGCUCGAAAUGUACAGGAAUCCGGUGGAAACAUCGGCGCCCCGCAAGGGGCCUGUAUAUAGGUGCUGCAUGGCUGUCGUCAGCUCGUGUCGUGAGAUGUUGGGUUAAGUCCCGCAACGAGCGCAACCCUUAUUACCAGUUGCUACCAUUUAGUUGAGCACUCUGGUGAGACUGCCUCGGAUAACGGGGAGGAAGGCGGGGAUGACGUCAAGUCCUCAUGGCCUUUAUGUCCAGGGCUACACACGUGCUACAAUGGUCGGUACAAACCGUCGCAAACCCGCGAGGGGGAGCUAAUCGGAAAAAGCCGGCCUCAGUCCGGAUUGGAGUCUGCAACUCGACUCCAUGAAGCUGGAAUCGCUAGUAAUCGCAGAUCAGAAUGCUGCGGUGAAUACGUUCCCGGGCCUUGUA